UAGUCCACGCCGUAAACGAUGAUUACUCGAUAUAUAUGCCUAGCAUAUGUGUCCAAGCGAAAGCGUUAAGUAAUCCACCUGGGGAGUACGCGCGCAAGCGUGAAACUCAAAGGAAUUGACGGGGGUCCGCACAAGCGGUGGAGCACGUGGUUUAAUUCGAUAAUACGCGAGGAACCUUACCUGGGCUCGAAUGCCUCUGCUACCUCGAGAAAUCGAGAAUUCCUUCGGGACAGAGUGCAAGGUGCUGCAUGGCCGUCGUCAGCUCGUGCCGUGAGGUGUUGGGUUAAGUCCCAUAACGAGCGCAACCCUCAUUUUUAGUUGCCUUAUGGAACUCUAAAAAGACUGCCGGUUAUAAACCGGAGGAAGGCGGGGACGACGCCAAGUCAGCAUGCCCCUUACACCCUGGGCUACACACGUGCUACAAUGGACGAGACAAUGAGAUGCAAAUCUGCGAAGACUAGCUAAUCUAUAAACUCGUUCUAAGUUCGGAUUGCAGG
rnacentral:rRNA from 1 species